CCCCUCUCAGGGUCGCACCUGGAGAGUUUCCAGUCCUCUACCAGUCUCGGCUACGGGAGGGAGAGUCAGGCAGAGGCCUACCCAUUCCAUUCCUAGCUUGCACAGUGGCUAAUGAGCGGAAGACAAUCUGCUACAAGU